GCCUUUGUGGCGUAGUGGUAGCACGUGUCUCCGGUAUGGAUGAACGCCGGUCCAAUUCCCGUCUAAGGUU